rnacentral:lncRNA from 1 species
GUCAAAGAAACUUUAAGAUUGUAUCCUCCUGGUCCACUUUCGGCACCUCGUGAAUUCACAGAGAAUUGCACUUUAAGAGACUAUAAUAUAAAAAAGGGAACCCGACUAAUCACAAAUCUUUGGAAGAUUCACACAGAUAGUAAUGUUUGGGAAGACCCUUUGGAGUUCAAACCAGAAAGGUUUCUUACAACUCAUAAAGAUAUUGACGUCAAAGGUCAUCAUUUUGAGCUAUUACCAUUUGGAGGUGGUAGAAGAAUAUGUCCAGCAGUAUCCCUUGGCCUUCAAAUGGUGCAUUUCACUCUUGCUAGGUUUUUGCAUUCUUUUGAAAUUUUAAGUCCAUCACCUGAUCCUAUAGACAUGACUGAAACAUUUGGAUUAACCAACACUAAAGCCACUCCACUUGAUAUUCUUAUUAAACCACGUCUAUCUCUUAGUUGUUAUGAAAACAACCGUUCCUUAUCUUAGCUACGUGAUUACAUUGUAUUUUUGUUCAAAGUACUUUUUGUUCCUACUAAAUAGUUCAAAGUAUUGUAGUUCCUCUAUUAUAUAUUUGUAUUUUUGUUCAAAAGUACUUGUAAUAUUUGUAGUAUUAAACAUAUAAAUACAGCAUAGUUGUUAAUUAAAUCUGAAAUAUUUUCUCAGGAACUUGCUUUAGAUAUGAAGAUAUGUAUUUUACUUCGGUGGUUUAAAAUCAGUUGUAUGAAAAUAUAAGGUAUAACACUUUCGUUAAUGAUGUAAAAACAUUACAAAAUUCUCCACGCAAGUGUGUUUUAUCGUCAUUACUGUUUAUAUGGGAUUUGUUUGAUAGAGGGGAGAGAUAUAAGUGUUUUUUUUGGGUGAGUGAGGGAUAUAGUGAUGUUGUGAUUCGGGGAGAAAGGGUAGUGAGGUUGAGAAUGGAGAUAUUAAUGGUGGAAAGGGACAUUUGUGGUGUUGCGUGAAUGAAAAAUGGACCACUUAGAAUUCAACAUCAUGAGUUUAGAAAUUGUUUACUUUUCUUAUGAUGAAAAUAUACAAUGAUUAUAGAACACAUGCAAGUAAUCCCUAGAAAAUAAAUAAAAUAAAAUAACUUUUUUUGUAAAUUAAAAUUAACUUUAACUUAGUUAUUUUUAAUAAUAAGUUUUUCAAAUAUAACCUUAAUUUUCUUAACUAAAAUAUUUCUGUUAGGUAACUUAUAACCUUAAUUUUCUUCACCGAAAUAUUUUUGUUGGGUAACUUAUUUGAUUAGCAGGCAGUGAUUUUAGGAGGAACUGACACAAACCAUACAGUUCUUACGUGGACAAUAUCUUUGAUUUUACAAAAUUCUUUGGUGUUGGAAAAAGUAAAAGAUGAACUAGAAUUCAUAUUGGAAAAGAGAAAUGUGUAAGUGAGUUUAUAAGUAAGUUAAUAUAUCUUCAAGCCAUAGUCAAAGAAACUUUAAGAUUGUAUCCUCCUGAUCCUCUUUUGACACCUCGUGAAUUCACAGAGAAUUGCACUUUAAGAGGCUUAAUAUAAAAAAGGGAACUCGACUAAUAACAAAUAUUUGGAAGAUUCAUACAGAUAGUAAUGCUUGGGAAGAUCCUCUAGAGUUUAAACCAGAAAGGUUUCUUACAACUCAUAAAGAUAUUGACAUCAAAGGUCGUCAUUUCAAGCUAUUACCAUUUGGAGGUAGUAGAAG